rnacentral:lncRNA from 1 species
CUCUCUCUCUCCUUCCGCGCGACUUGGCCGUGCGACCCUUCGCCUUCUCGGCGACGGCCCGGCCACCACAGGCCGAGCUGAUCUCCGCCGUGGGUACCAUCGGGUCCGCCUCCCUCUCGCCGUCAAAACCUGACCGACCUCCACCCUUGGGCCGCUCGGAGUUGAUCGGAAAACCAUGUUUUCCGACGGAGAUUCGUCCGAAACCACCCGAACUUCCAGCUCGAUUUUCUCCUUCAAUUUUCCACCAAAUCGGUCGAGUAAGGUAUGGUUUCUCAGCUAUUUUUCACGUUCUAGCUGAUGGAUGUACGGGUUUCGAUCGAUUUUAGUCCUAAAGCGAUUAAUUUUUGACUUGAAAUCUGGCCGAAACUUCGGCCGCCUAGAACUACUGUUUCUGGUCACUUUUUGGGGUUUGUCCAAGAACAAAAGUGACUCCAAAUGGGGUGUUCUACCUAGGAUAGGAAUUUGGAGUCUUGGUUCCGAGAUUUUUCGGCCACCCGAAAACGCUUAAGACACCCAAAUCUGACCGCGCGUGCUGGGACGCGUGGGCGAGGGUGGUGGAGUAAUUCUGUGCAGUUUUGUGACCUUCGUGUCGUCACGAGCGCGUAGGAUUUCGCGGAUCUAGAUUCGGAGUCCGUUUGAGCCCCGAACGGAUUUUCCAUAUCGCGCGAUCCGUGGGUGCAGUGUCGUCAAAUAAUUGGAUCGCGCUGGAUUUCGGAUAUGUCGGUCUACACGAUCUCAGGAUCGUGUAGGAUUCAACGGAUUGCGAAUCGGAGUCCCGGAUACUCCGAAAUCGCGAACCCUGGGGCUAGGGUUUGGAUUUUAAGCGAUAACGCGAUUUUGGCUAAUCUGACCGUCCGUUUCGGACCAAAAUCGCAGAACAUGGUUCCUUCUCUGUAAGGAACCUUCAGAGGAGCCCAGAUUGGCCAUCGGAGGCCGUGGACCCACGGGGUCCCGGAUCGGCCGAUCUGGCAGCUUACCGCUUAUUUAUUUUUCGGGUCUCUUAAGGCCGGUCUAACUGUCCCAAAAAGCUAAGGUGGGCAUAGAAGUAACCUGAAACGAGUGCACGUAUUUCUAAGAGCCGGGGGCAGGGUGUUUAGUUGAAAUUCUUUUUAUUCAGCAGUUUAUUAAUUUAACUUUUAUGGGUAAUCAGGCACCAGGAGCCCGACAGGAUUGCAAAAGAGACCUUCGAAGGGUCAAAGUAGCUCGGACCAUCU